rnacentral:rRNA from 1 species
GAUGAACGCUGGCGGCGUGCCUAAUACAUGCAAGUCGAGCGAACAGACGAGGAGCUUGCUCCUCUGACGUUAGCGGCGGACGGGUGAGUAACACGUGGAUAACCUACCUAUAAGACUGGGAUAACUUCGGGAAACCGGAGCUAAUACCGGAUAAUAUAUUGAACCGCAUGGUUCAAUAGUGAAAGACGGUUUUGCUGUCACUUAUAGAUGGAUCCGCGCCGCAUUAGCUAGUUGGUAAGGUAACGGCUUACCAAGGCAACGAUGCGUAGCCGACCUGAGAGGGUGAUCGGCCACACUGGAACUGAGACACGGUCCAGACUCCUACGGGAGGCAGCAGUAGGGAAUCUUCCGCAAUGGGCGAAAGCCUGACGGAGCCACGCCGCGUGAGUGAUGAAGGUCUUCGGAUCGUAAAACUCUUUUAUUAGGGAAGAAAAAAUGUGUAAGUAACUCUGCACGUCUUGACGGUACCUAAUCAGAAAGCCACGGCUAACUACGUG